GAUUAAACCCUUUCUCAUCCA
rnacentral:snRNA from 1 species